rnacentral:lncRNA from 1 species
CAGGGGGAAAAGGGCAGACCGGCAGAUCUCAGCGUGCGAUGCAAUCUCUUUUGACAGUGGCAUGAAGUGAUCUGAGAUCAAAGGCAGCCUGGAAGGGGAGGGGACAGGCUACAGACUCAGAAUGUGACCCUGUGACCUUGCUUCUGCCUCGGGAGCCAGCCGUCCCUGGGCGAGGUGACCACCAGGCCUACACAGCGGUGGCGGCCUCCGUGUGCUCCUCGGGAGAGCCAGGCCGGGGAGCUGCAGCUCUGGAGCAAGGCUGCAGGAGAGGCGCCUCGCUGCCCUCGGGGUCACCUGCGGGACUGUCCACCUUCAUUCCGACGGAUCGGGAUUCGGAGGCCCAGGGACAGGAUGUGACUUGCUCCAAGUCACCAGGGCCGUUACCACUAAACAGAAACGAAGUCCGCCAGGCCAACCCUCCCACACCCUUCCCGCCAGGUCAGGGACGCUGUCCUCGUGCCUUAUCGGUGGCAGCAGGAGAUCCCUGUCACCAAGUCAAACUGAGGCCAGGCCCGGGGAGCCUAGGGCUACGGCGAUUUGAGUCAGGCUUGGAACCAUUACAAGGCACAAAGGCUCUUCCGUUUUCCUGGCUGCUCUGUCUACACAGAGGAAGAAUCUGUUAAGUCUACAACCAAGAGUCGACCCGACAACCCAACAUCUAGCUCAGUCCGAAGCUAGGAAAUACACCUAACUACUUUGUCUCCUUAAUAUCAAAGCUCCAAAUGCUUCACGCCCUCGGGAGCUCUGAGUGACAAUUCGUGCCCAAAAAACCUCAUCUCCUUUGGUGUGUAGAAGAAAGCUGCUGCUCUAGGAGAAACCUUCCAAGAAUUAUGACCUCAAUUACAGGCCCAGAGAUGGGUCAUUCUUUGAGGCAAUAAUAAUAACGCAGGGACGCGUUUCUGCCUAGGACCCCUGGGGACGUUGUUGUCAUCGUUGUUGUUUUGUGGGAACAACUGACUGACUCAAAAGCAAAGCAGGUGACGUAUCGCUGUAAGAUUUUUAUUUGCCAGCGUUGAGAAAUGAUUCAGAAACGUCAGUCUCGGAAAAGUGGGUGUGAAAUUGUGUGCUUCGAUGUAAGUAAAAUAGAAGGGCUCUUGGAACGUGGCCUAAGGAUAUAAACUCACAACAAUUCGGGGAUUUUCUGGGAAGAGUCCCAAUUUUAAUCAAAUGCUCCCCUUCAGUCUUCACAAUCAAGUUCUUAUUUGACAGACAGUCCAGGGGUCUUUUUUGUUUUCUCUCCAAAACAGGGUCAUGCCCCCAAGGGAAAAAAUAUGUUUCAGCUUUCAAGAAGCCCUUUUUCACCAUUUGGCUUUUCCAUAUGAAGACGCAUUUGCAUAUGUUGACCUCAACGCAAUCGCGAAGUCUCCCCAGUGUUAAUGACAAUAUAUGUCACUUCGGAAUGCCUUUGGCUGCAGAGACCAGAAAACUCCGUAGGGCACUGAAGCUGCCAGGGUCCUCUUCUCUCUCUCCCCUCGCCAAUCUCAAGUUGCCAACAUCCGUCUUGUUUGCCGACUCGAGCUUGCAAGGUGGCAGCCCUAACACCCACACCUGCCUUCAAGGACGUUAUUGGGGGGCCACGCAAACAGCUGUCUGAACCCCCACUGUCCUGCUUCUCUCCCCCCCCCCCCCGCCUCAGCAGGUCUUGUUUACUUUAUCUCUUUGGCCAGAACUGUGUCUACUUUGCCACCCCCAAGCCCAGCCGAUGUGGUGAAAACUUGCCGUCAUGUGCCUGCUUGUUGCCGUACCAAGGUUAGAGCACCUACAGACUGGUGAUGUCUCUAAAUACAAGAGACGGCCUAGAAUGCAUGCUUUUAAGAGGUAAGUGCAUCCUAUUGAGAGGCUUAAAAUAGCAAAGCUCUUUCCACCGGGAAUUUGUGACUCCUACGUCUGGGCCCCAGAUCCCACCUGCCGUCUUAGCCAGAAGUUUUCUUAGCUAAAAGUUUUCUCGCAAUGGGAUACAGCAAAUGGGACCUCAUGAACCGGCUGACACAUGGCCAGGUCUGUCUUUCAGACUCAGCAGAGUUUCCAUUGAUUCUUGAGCGUUCUUGUACUUUCUGGUCAAUGUCAAUAGAUUGGGGACACUUUUAAAGAAACAUAUAAAUUACUACUCCAGGUUUUUGCUUAAUUAUUUAUAAUGGUAGGCAUUUGCCUAAUGGAAAUUUUUAUUCUGUGCUGAAUGUCGGGAUCCAUGGGGCUCACACGUCCCCUUUGAGUAAAAGGUUCGCUCAUGGAUUAUCGCACUCAUAGAUCCGUGGAAAUGCAGAGUCAGAGCAGAGGCAGAGUGUAGACAGAGAGAGAGGUUACAGAAGGUCUGAGCUGUUCUGGAAACAAAUGCAUUGGAAAUGCUGGGGCCCAAAGUUGAAGGGGUCCCACGUAGUGAGGUGGAACCUCCAGGCACGUGGAUACAAACAUGGGUGUGCAGUAAGUGGGGGUGUAGACAAGAAAGCUCACCAGAAACAGGCUUUUACUCUCUCUAAAGAGAAUUAAAACUUUGAAAGACCAGUCAUUCCAGUGGAAAAGGCUGUUCCAUUACCUUCCAUCCCUGCAGCGCCCUCUGCUGCUAAAACGGGGGAACUGCUUGACAAUCCCCGUGUUUUCCUUGUGGCUUCCAUACUGUGACCGCAAGCUAUAGGGAAAGAAAAGAGAAUUGUGUAUCUGGCUCAAUAGAUGUCUGUAAAACACUACAGCACAUCUUUCUCCAAGUCCUCUCUCUCCGAAAAAGCCCCAUGUGAAGGUAAAAUUGUUCCAAGACUUACUGUGCUUGUUUAUUAAGGGAAAAUAUUGGGCAUACCAGGCAAGGAUGUAAGUCCUCCGAAGAGGAAAUUUGCAGAUGCGGUCGAUGUGUGAAAUUUGCUAAAUACGGCAAACAAAUCUGCUUAGGAAAAGGAAGUCUGGAAGCUUCUCUGCUGAUGCUAUCCCACGGAAAAAAAAAAAAAUCAAAACAAGGCACAAGAGGAGAAGCCAAGCAGAUCCAUUUCCCCAGAUGAGCCAUUUCGCCGUAAAUCACUAAGGCGUUUUCAGGACAGCAGACCCGUGUCUCUCCCUUUCUGCCCUUGGAGAAGCAAAGAAUGUGCAGGUUAUCUCCGCCUCUGGCAAAGAGCCUCUUUCCAGAGGCCAUAACACACCUAGAGAAAAAGACUUCAGAAGCAGUGCUGUGGACAG